rnacentral:rRNA from 2 species
GCGGUUAAAAAGCUCGUAGUCUGAGGUCUGUUCCGGACUGGCUGGGGAGGUCACCGCCCGGUGCUUCCCCGUCAGGUUCCGAACAGCUUCUGCCGCGAGCGGAAGCCAUGCCGGUUCUGUCGGGGUGCUCUUGACCGAGUGUCCCGUGUGGCCGGCAGGUUCACCUUGAACAAAUGAGAGUGCUCAAAGCAGGCUACUCUUAAAACUAAAGCCUGAAUGUUAACUGCAUGGAAUGAUGAAAGAUGAUCUCGGUUCUAUUAGUACUGGGGUUCCCGAGUUAAUGAUAAACAGGGACUGUCGGGGGCAUCCGUACUACGACGCGAGAGGUGAAAUUCAGUGACCGUCGUAGGACGAACAACAGCGAAAGCAUUUGCCAAGAAUGUCUUCGUUGAUCAAGAACGAAAGUUAGAGGAUCGAAGGCGAUCAGAUACCGCCCUAGUUCUAACCCUAAACGAUGCUAACUAGCUCCGUCGUUAUUCCCAUGACGUGGCGAGACGCCCCCGGGAAACCUCAAGUCUUUGAGUUCCGGGGGUAGUAUGGUUGCAAAACUGAAACUUAAAGGAAUUGACGGAAGGGCACCACCAGGAGUGGAGCCUGCGGCUUAAUUUGACUCAACACGGGAAACCUCACCAGGCCCGGACACCAGAAGGAUUGACAGAAUGA